GGGGAAGGAACAGCAUAGAGCUCUCAGGAAGGAGCCAGGACUUGUCUUCUAGACUCUCUCAGAACCCGGUAAUCGAGAUGAUGCUGCAUCUCCUGGAUCAUAUGCCAGAGGAUCGGCCAGUUAGAGACACAGACUCCAUUCCUUUGUCGAAAGGGACUUCAGGUAAGAAUGUAAAGGCCCAGUCACGCUCGGGCAGGAUGAACCGAGAGAAACUGAACUACAGACCCUUUCAACUCCAUGAAGAUCCCAUGGUGGUGAAGGAACUCUCUCCAAAGCAACGAGAUAAAAGCAGAAGGGGAACAAGAAUACCCUUGGCAGUGAAAAGAGAGGCAAA
rnacentral:lncRNA from 1 species